AACGAACGCUGGCGGCAUGCCUAACACAUGCAAGUCGAACGAGACCUUCGGGUCUAGUGGCGCACGGGUGCGUAACGCGUGGGAACCUGCCCUUAGGUUCGGAAUAACUCCCCGAAAGGUGUGCUAAUACCGGAUAAUGUCUUCGGACCAAAGAUUUAUCGCCUUUGGAUGGGCCCGCGUUGGAUUAGCUAGUUGGUAGGGUAAAAGCCUACCAAGGCGACGAUCCAUAGCUGGUCUGAGAGGAUGAUCAGCCACACUGGGACUGAGACACGGCCCAGACUCCUACGGGAGGCAGCAGUGGGGAAUAUUGGAAAAUGGGCGAAAGCCUGAUCCAGCAAUGCCGCGUGAGUGAUGAAGGCCUUAGGGUUGUAAAGCUCUUUUACCCGGGAUGAUAAUGACAGUACCGGGAGAAUAAGCUCCGGCUAACUCCGUG
rnacentral:rRNA from 1 species